rnacentral:lncRNA from 1 species
UUUCAACUCCCACUUUCCCACGCAAAAGAAAAACUUCCAGCAGCCUGCUGGCAAAAGGACCGCGCGGAGCACGUACAGAAACGGCCACGACUGCCAUUCCCACAAUGCCCCGGUUUAUUUGCAUCUUUCUGUCCCAGUGACGUCACCUGAGUGAGGUCGCGACUGUACCAAUGGGCCGUCACGGGGUGUUAGGACCUGGCCAUAUAAGGUAAACAAAGCUGGCCGCCCAAUGAGGCGGCGGCGGGGGCGGGCGCAUCACGUGGCGUGGGGGCGGGGUCGGGAGCUGGGUGCGUGAUUUCGCAGGCGGUGUUUACAGCCCCGCACAUGCCACUUCCGGCUGACGUCGCGGUUGGUAGAGUGGCCGGUCGGACGUGGAAGAGUCGCCCAGAAGCUGGGGGGAGGAGAGGGCUGGCGUUGUCUUCUCGGCUGAGAGACGUUGCCCGGGUUCUUUGCUCUCACUGGCCUCACCUUUGACCUGGCCCCCUGUAGAACCAGCCGGGAGGGGAGGCGUUAGGUCCGAAAGCUUCAUUAUAGCGACACUGCCCCGAGGAAGUAAGCGCAGGCCUCGGAAGCCAACUGCGGGCUCUUGAGACGUUUUGAUACACCUGAUCCUUUGUUCUCGCUAGGACCGCUGAGGCCGUAAAGGCAAAACCAGCACACAUGGAGAUCACAGUAAAAG